rnacentral:rRNA from 1 species
AACGAACGCUGGCGGCAGGCUUAAUACAUGCAAGUCGAACGGUUGUAGCAAUACAGCAGUGGCAGACGGGUGAGUAACACGUGGGAACCUUCCUAGGGGUACGGAACAACUCAGGGAAACUUGAGCUAAUACCGUAUACGUCCGUGAGGAGAAAGAUUUAUCGCCCCUAGACGGGCCCGCGUAGGAUUAGGUAGUUGGUG